rnacentral:rRNA from 1 species
CCUACGGGGUGCAGCAGUGAGGAAUAUUGGUCAAUGGGCGGGAGCCUGAACCAGCCAAGUCGCGUGAAGGAAGAAGGUACUUAGUAUUGUAAACUUCUUUUGUCGGGGAACAAAGGCGGAGACGCGUCUCCGGAUGAGUGUACCCGAAGAAAAAGCAUCGGCUAACUCCGUGCCAGCAGCCGCGGUAAUACGGAGGAUGCGAGCGUUAUCCGGAUUUAUUGGGUUUAAAGGGUGCGCAGGCGGGAGAUCAAGUCAGCGGUAAAAUUUCGGGGCUCAACCCCGGCCGGCCGUUGAAACUGGUUUUCGAGCGUUGGAGAGAAGUAUGCGGAAUUCGUGGUGUAGCGGUGAAAUGCAUAGAUAUCACGAAGAACUCCGAUUGCGAAGGCAGCAUACCGGCUCCAUACUGACGCUGAGGCACGAAAGCGUGGGGAUCGAACAGGAUUAGAUACCCGGGUAGUC